rnacentral:rRNA from 1 species
GAUGAACGCUAGCGAUAGGCUUAACACAUGCAAGUCGAGGGGCAGCACGAGGUAGCUUGCUAUCUGGGUGGCGACCGGCGCACGGGUGCGUAACGCGUAUGCAACUUGCCCUAUACAGGAGGAUAACCCGUCGAAAGACGGACUAAUACUGCGUAUGCUCACAACUUGGCAUCAAGUGGUGAGGAAAGAAAUUCGGUAUAGGAUAGGCAUGCGUCCCAUUAGCUUGUUGGUGAGGUAACGGCUCACCAAGGCAACGAUGGGUAGGGGAACUGAGAGGUUUAUCCCCCACACUGGUACUGAGACACGGACCAGACUCCUACGGGAGGCAGCAGUGAGGAAUAUUGGUCAAUGGGCGCGAGCCUGAACCAGCCAAGUCGCGUGAAGGAUGACUGUCUUAUGGAUUGUAAACUUCUUUUAUACGGGAAUAACAAGAGUCACGUGUGACUCCCUGCAUGUACCGUAUGAAUAAGCAUCGGCUAACUCCGUG